rnacentral:rRNA from 1 species
CAUGCAGUCGNNCGGUGAAGCCAAGCUUGCUUGGUGGAUCAGUGGCGAACGGGUGAGUAACACGUGAGCAACCUGCCCUGGACUCUGGGAUAAGCGCUGGAAACGGCGUCUAAUACUGGAUAUGAGACGUGAUCGCAUGGUCGUGUUUGGAAAGAUUUUUCGGUCUGGGAUGGGCUCGCGGCCUAUCAGCUUGUUGGUGAGGUAAUGGCUCACCAAGGCGUCGACGGGUAGCCGGCCUGAGAGGGUGACCGGCCACACUGGGACUGAGACACGGCCCAGACUCCUACGGGAGGCAGCAGUGGGGAAUAUUGCACAAUGGGCGGAAGCCUGAUGCAGCAACGCCGCGUGAGGGAUGACGGCCUUCGGGUUGUAAACCUCUUUUAGCAGGGAAGAAGCGAAAGUGACGGUACCUGCAGAAAAAGCGCCGGCUAACUACGUGCCAGCAGCCGCGGUAAUACGUAGGGCGCAAGCGUUAUCCGGAAUUAUUGGGCGUAAAGAGCUCGUAGGCGGUUUGUCGCGUCUGCUGUGAAAUCCCGAGGCUCAACCUCGGGUCUGCAGUGGGUACGGGCAGACUAGAGUGCGGUAGGGGAGAUUGGAAUUCCUGGUGUAGCGGUGGAAUGCGCAGAUAUCAGGAGGAACACCGAUGGCGAAGGCAGAUCUCUGGGCCGUAACUGACGCUGAGGAGCGAAAGGGUGGGGAGCAAACAGGCUUAGAUACCCUGGUAGUCCACCCCGUAAACGUUGGGAACUAGUUGUGGGGACCAUUCCACGGUUUCCGUGACGCAGCUAACGCAUUAAGUUCCCCGCCUGGGGAGUACGGCCGCAAGGCUAAAACUCAAAGGAAUUGACGGGGACCCGCACAAGCGGCGGAGCAUGCGGAUUAAUUCGAUGCAACGCGAAGAACCUUACCAAGGCUUGACAUAUACGAGAACGGGCCAGAAAUGGUCAACUCUUUGGACACUCGUAAACAGGUGGUGCAUGGUUGUCGUCAGCUCGUGUCGUGAGAUGUUGGGUUAAGUCCCGCAACGAGCGCAACCCUCGUUCUAUGUUGCCAGCACGUAAUGGUGGGAACUCAUGGGAUACUGCCGGGGUCAACUCGGAGGAAGGUGGGGAUGACGUCAAAUCAUCAUGCCCCUUAUGUCUUGGGCUUCACGCAUGCUACAAUGGCCGGUACAAAGGGCUGCAAUACCGUGAGGUGGAGCGAAUCCCAAAAAGCCGGUCCCAGUUCGGAUUGAGGUCUGCAACUCGACCUCAUGAAGUCGGAGUCGCUAGUAAUCGCAGAUCAGCAACGCUGCGGUGAAUACGUUCCCGGGUCUUGUACACACCGCCCGUCAAGUCAUGAAAGUCGGUAACACCUGAAGCCGGUGGCCCAACCCUUGNGGAGGGAGCCNUCGA